UACGGGGGGAGCAAGCGUUGUUCGGAUUUACUGGGCGUAAAGGGCGCGUAGGCGGCCACCGCAAGUCGACUGUGAAAUCUCCGGGCUUAACCCGGAAAGGUCAGCCGAUACUGCGGGGCUAGAGUGCAGAAGGGGCAACUGGAAUUCUCGGUGUAGCGGUGGAAAUGCGUAGAUAUCGAGAGGAACACCUGCGGCGAAGGCGGGCUACUGGGCGUGAUAC
rnacentral:rRNA from 1 species